UCCUCGUUAGUAUAGUGGACAGUAUCUCUGCUUGUCACGCAGAAGACCAGGGUUCGAUUUCCUGACGGAGAG
rnacentral:tRNA from 1 species